AAAAAGUUAGAAAACCUGAAGAGUCUAGACCUUUUCAAUUGCGAGGUAACCAACUUGAACGAUUACAGAGAAAACGUAUUCAAGCUCCUCCCACAACUCACAUACCUCGAUGGCUACGAUCGGGAUGACAAAGAAGCGCCAGACUCUGAUGCAGAGGGCUACGUGGAGGGCUUAGACGACGAGGAGGAGGAUGAAGAUGUGAAAGAUCGGGAUGACAAAGAAGCACCGGACUCUGAUGCAGAGGGCUACGUGGAGGGCUUAGACGACGAGGAGGAGGAUGAAGAUGAAGAGGAGUAUGAUGAUGAUGCUCAGGUAGUAGAAGAUGAAGAAGAUGAGGAGGAAGAGGAGGAAGGAGAAGAGGAGGAUGUGAGCGGAGAAGAGGAGGAGGAUGAAGAAGGCUACAACGAUGGUGAGGUAGAUGACGACGAAGAUGAAGAAGAGCCCGAUGAAGAACGGGGACAGAAGAGAAAACGAGAACCUGAAGACGAAGGGGAUGAAGACGACUAAACUGAAUAACCUAUUUUGAAAAUUUCCUAUUGUGAUUUGACUGUUUUUACCCUGUAUUUCCCCUUCCCACACCCCUGACCUUUUUUUUUCUCUUUUUUUCUUUUUUUUUUUUUUUUUCUGAUUGUAAUGUUGCUGUGGGAACGAGAGGGAGAAGCAGACUGGGUGGGCAAGGGAAUAAAAUACUAUUUUUACUGCC